GGGCUUCACAGUCUUGCAAUCGGAAUGAGUAGAUUUUAAAUCUCUCUACGAGUAACAAUUGGAGGGCAAGUCUGGUGCCAGCAGCCGCGGUAAUUCCAGCUCCAAUAGCGUAUAUUAAAGUUGUUGCGGUUAAAAAGCUUGUAGUUGAAUUUCUGCCAAGGACGACCUACCCACCUUAGGGUGCGCGUAAGUGUUGACCGAGGCAUCCUCCUAGCAGCGACCGAGCUUAACUGUUCGGCUCGUUCUAGGACUUUUACUUUGAGGAAAUUAGAAUGUUUCAAGCAGGCGUUUGCCCUGAAUAUAUUAGCAUGGAAUAAUAAUUUAGGACUUCGGUUCUACUUUGUUGGUUUCUAGAACUGAAGUAAUGAUUAAUAGGGACAGUCGGGGGCGUUUGUACUCAACCGUCAGAGGUGAAAUUC
rnacentral:rRNA from 1 species